UCGGAAUCUUUCACACCUACCGUCAUCUCCACAAAUCUCUAAUUUAUUCACCACCAUCACCAUAUCAAACAGAGUAAAAACAAACACCACCCAACAACCAUCAUUGACAACCACCAUAACUGUCGAUUUUAACUACUAUUACUAGACCUGUACACCACCAACCACCGCCGAUUUGGCUUAAAAAUUUCCUCACCGUUGCCGUGGAUUGUGCUCAAAACCUUCCUCGCCGCCGCGGCCGGAGCCAUGGCAGCGGUUCUUCUUUCUUUCACCGAAAAACACAUCUGAGCACUGUCUUCCCUCUGAUCUGUUCAAAGGAACAACGUCGGAACCCUAGCUUUUGGCCAGAAAUGUGGUUACACAGCUUGCACAAGAACUCCACUGUCUACCCUCCUAUUCAAACCACCGCCGUCGCUACUAUGCUUUGUUUUCCCCAUGGAAUGGUCCGUAAAUUCAUUAUCUUGAAUGCAUGUAUUUUUGUUCCUGUGAGACGGUGACAGUAUUGAACGUCCAAACGGUUCGAUUCGAAACGGUACUGGUCGAAACGGUUCGGGUCGAAACGGUUC
rnacentral:lncRNA from 1 species